rnacentral:rRNA from 1 species
CCUACGGGAGGCAGCAGUGAGGAAUAUUGGUCAAUGAGCGUAAGCCUGAACCAGCCAAGUCGCGUGAGGGAUGAAGGUUCUAUGGAUCGUAAACCUCUUUUAUAAGGGAAUAAAGUGUGGGACGUGUCCUGUUUUGUAUGUACCUUAUGAAUAAGGAUCGGCUAACUCCGUGCCAGCAGCCGCGGUAAUACGGAGGAUCCGAGCGUUAUCCGGAUUUAUUGGGUUUAAAGGGUGCGUAGGCGGCCUUUUAAGUCAGCGGUGAAAGUCCGUGGCUCAACCAUAGCAUGGCCGUUGAAACUGGGAGGCUUGAGUAUGUUUGAGGCAGGCGGAAUGCGUGGUGUAGCGGUGAAAUGCUUAGAUAUCACGCAGAACACCGAUGGCGAAGGCAGCCUGCCAAGCCAUGACUGACGCUGAUGCACGAAAGCGUGGGGAUCAAACAGGAUUAGAUACCCUAGUAGUC